rfam:Mus musculus chromosome 13, GRC primary reference assembly.
UCAAAGGCUCUUUUAAGAGCCACCCACACUUUCCUCUGGAAAAGCU